CCUACGGGUGGCAGCAGUGGGGAAUAUUGGACAAUGGGGGCAACCCUGAUCCAGCCAUGCCGCGUGUGUGAAGAAGGCCCUCGGGUUGUAAAGCACUUUCAGUGAGGAAGAACGCCUGGUGGUUAAUACCCAUCAGGAAAGACAUCACUCACAGAAGAAGCACCGGCUAACUCCGUGCCAGCAGCCGCGGUAAUACGGAGGGUGCGAGCGUUAAUCGGAAUUACUGGGCGUAAAGCGCGCGUAGGUGGCUUGAUAAGCCGGUUGUGAAAGCCCCGGGCUCAACCUGGGAACGGCAUCCGGGACUGUCAAGCUAGAGUGCAGGAGAGGAAGGUAGAAUUCCCGGCGUAGCGGAGAAAUGCGUAUAGAUGGGGAGGAGUACCAGUGGCGAAGGCGGCCUUCUUGACUGACACGGACACUGAGGUGGGAAGGCGUGGGUAGCAAACAGGAUUAGAUACCCGGGUAGUC
rnacentral:rRNA from 1 species